AACGCACAUUGCGCCCCCUGGCAUUCCGGGGGUCAUGCCUGUCCGAGCGUCAUUGCUGCCCAUCAAGCCCGGCUUGUGUGUUGGGUCAUCGUCCCCCCCGGGGGACUGGCCCGAAAGGCAGCGGCGGCACCGUGUCCGGUCCUCGAGCGUAUGGGGCUAUGUCACCCGCUCGACUAGGGCCGGCCGGUAGACAGAUGCCGUCUCCAACCAUUUUUCUUCAGGUUGACCUCGGAUCAGGUAGGGAUACCCGCUGAACUUA
rnacentral:misc_RNA from 1 species